rnacentral:rRNA from 1 species
CCUACGGUGGGCAGCAGUGGGGAAUAUUGCACAAUGGGGGAAAACCUGAUGCAGCGACGCCGCGUGAGUGAGGAAGUAUUUCGGUUUGUAAAGUUCUAUCAGCAGGGAAGAAAAUGACGGUACCUGACUACGAAGCACAGGCUAACUACGUGCCAGCAGCCGCGGUAAUACGUAGGGGGCAAGCGUUCUCCGGAUUUAAUGGGUGUAAAGGGAACGUAGACGGCUAAUCAAGUCAGAAGUGAAAGCCCAGGGCUUAACUUUGGAACUGCUUUUGAAACUGAGUAGCUAGAGUGCAGGAGAGGGAAGCAGAAUUCCAAGUGUAGCGGUGAAAUGCGUAGAGAUUAGGAGGAACACCAGUGGCGAAGGCGGCUUACUGGACUGUAACUGACGUUGAGGCUCGAAAGCGUGGGGAGCAAACAGGAUUAGAUACCCGAGUAGUC